rnacentral:lncRNA from 1 species
GCUGAUUCGGGCUUGAGGAUGAUGUUGCAAGCCGCACACGCAUCCGGCCUCUAGGAGUCGUCCACACGAGCUCACGAAUCUCGAUCAGAAGUUCUGCUUCAGGAAAUCAGCACAGUAUGCUAGUACUGCGCUGAUCCUUCUUUGAUGGUUGAUCAGGUGCCUCCUUCUUCUUGAUUUGGACUCAUCCAAAGAUGGAAAGUAAAAGGAGGAGUUUCAGAUCUGAGACGCUCUCAGGAAACUCAAGAUGG